rnacentral:tRNA from 1 species
CGCGGAGUAGAGCAGUUGGUAGCUCGUCGGGCUCAUAACCCGGAGGUCGUAGGUUCGAGUCCUGCCUCCGCAACCA